rnacentral:rRNA from 1 species
UACGAAGGGGGCAAGCGUUGUUCGGAAUUACUGGGCGUAAAGGGCGCGCAGGCGGCUAACCAAGUCAGAUGUGAAAGCCCCGGGCUCAACCUGGGAAUAGCAUUUGGGACUGGUUGGCUAAAGAUCGGGAGAGGAGAGUGGAAUUCCCAGUGUAGAGGUGAAAUUCGUAGAUAUUGGGAAGAACACCGGUGGCGAAGGCGGCUCUCUGGACCGAUACUGACGCUGAGGCGCGAAAGCGUGGGGAG